rnacentral:lncRNA from 10 species
AUUUAAUUUGAUCUGCUUUCUGGGGACAUCUUUCUGCAAUUAUCAAUUUCUUUCUCUACAGUUUGCAUUUUAUUAAUAUUUUAUUAAUAAAAUUAUAUUCUAUACUAUGCUGGUAGAAAGUUGUGUUUAACACUGUAAAGUAUUACAAUUUAGGCGUUACUUGACAAGAAUUGGCAGUCUGAAUUACAUUUCAUUUGAAAACAAAUAUGACAUAGUAACCAAAAAAGAAUAUAACUUAGAAUAGUCACUAUUCCCUCAAGUAAGGUAUGAUGACCAAGUAACUAACUAUGUGAGCUGGCAUGCCUACAAAACCAGUAUAAUACUACACUAAUAAUUAUAAUAAAAUGAUAUUUUCCGCCCUACGCUGCAAUGAAAAAUCAUUGUCUUCUUAUUUUCACAACAGGUUUUAAUUGGAUAUUUUUGUUAAGAACCAGAGAAUCUCUAUAAUGGUUGUACAGAAUGAAGUGAUCCCUAGAGUCCUUUCCAGAUUAAAAAUUCAAUUGUCCUAUAUUUAUAGAUAAGGUGAAUAAGGAAUCUACUGUGGAAUGAUCCACCCUAGAAUUCACAGUCCAUAAAGUAGAAUCAAUUACUGAACUAUAAACCUUAAGCACCAAAGCUUUGCAAGUUUAAAAUGUAAAAAGGGGUUUUAAAGCAUUACUUCACUUCAUUAAGAUAAGCCCAGUAGAAAAUGAAUAGGAAGAUGUUAGAAUUGGCAAAGAGAAGGAGUUUUUCCUGUCACAUAUUUUUUGAGUUCUUGUCCCAAUGCUUCCAUUUACUAAUGAUGUUUCCUAGACCAAGUCUCUG